GACGGUUGUCCCGGUUUAAGCGUGUAGGUGUGUGUUCCAGGUAAAUCCGGUUCACUUUAACACUGAGGCGUGACGACGAGGCACUACGGUGCUGAAGCAACAAAUGCCCUGCUUCCAGGAAAAGCCUCUAAGCAUCAGGUAACACGAAAUCGUACCCCAAACCGACACAGGUGGUCAGGUAGAGAAUACCAAGGCGCUUGAGAGAACUCGGGUGAAGGAACUAGGCAAAAUGGUGCCGUAACUUCGGGAGAAGGCACGCUGACACGUAGGUGAAGUGAUUUACUCAUGGAGCUGAAGUCAGUCGAAGAUACCAGCUGGCUGCAACUGUUUAUUAAAAACACAGCACUGUGCAAACACGAAAGUGGACGUAUACGGUGUGACGCCUGCCCGGUGCCGGAAGGUUAAUUGAUGGGGUCAGCGUAAGCGAAGCUCCUGAUCGAAGCCCCGGUAAACGGCGGCCGUAACUAUAACGGUCCUAAGGUAGCGAAAUUCCUUGUCGGGUAAGUUCCGACCUGCACGAAUGGCGUAAUGAUGGCCAGGCUGUCUCCACCCGAGACUCAGUGAAAUUGAACUCGCUGUGAAGAUGCAGUGUACCCGCGGCAAGACGGAAAGACCCCGUGAACCUUUACUAUAGCUUGACACUGAACAUUGAGCCUUGAUGUGUAGGAUAGGUGGGAGGCUUUGAAGUGUGGACGCCAGUCUGCAUGGAGCCGACCUUGAAAUACCACCCUUUAAUGUUUGAUGUUCUAACGUGGACCCGUAAUCCGGGUUGCGGACAGUGUCUGGUGGGUAGUUUGACUGGGGCGGUCUCCUCCUAAAGAGUAACGGAGGAGCACGAAGGUUGGCUAAUCCUGGUCGGACAUCAGGAGGUUAGUGCAAUGGCAUAAGCCAGCUUGACUGCGAGCGUGACGGCGCGAGCAGGUGCGAAAGCAGGUCAUAGUGAUCCGGUGGUUCUGAAUGGAAGGGCCAUCGCUCAACGGAUAAAAGGUACUCCGGGGAUAACAGGCUGAUACCGCCCAAGAGUUCAUAUCGACGGCGGUGUUUGGCACCUCGAUGUCGGCUCAUCACAUCCUGGGGCUGAAGUAGGUCCCAAGGGUAUGGCUGUUCGCCAUUUAAAGUGGUACGCGAGCUGGGUUUAGAACGUCGUGAGACAGUUCGGUCCCUAUCUGCCGUGGGCGCUGGAGAACUGAGGGGGGCUGCUCCUAGUACGAGAGGACCGGAGUGGACGCAUCACUGGUGUUCGGGUUGUCAUGCCAAUGGCACUGCCCGGUAGCUAAAUGCGGAAGAGAUAAGUGCUGAAAGCAUCUAAGCACGAAACUUGCCCCGA
rnacentral:rRNA from 2 species